rnacentral:rRNA from 1 species
GGAGGAAAAGAAACCAACAGGGAUUGCCUUAGUAGCGGCGAGUGAAGCGGCAAAAGCUCAAAUUUGAAAUCUGGCUCUUUCAGAGUCCGAGUUGUAAUUUGAAGAAGGUAUCUUUGGGUCUGGCUCUUGUCUAUGUUUCUUGGAACAGAACGUCACAGAGGGUGAGAAUCCCGUGCGAUGAGAUGAUCCAGGCCUAUGUAAAGUUCCUUCGAAGAGUCGAGUUGUUUGGGAAUGCAGCUCUAAGUGGGUGGUAAAUUCCAUCUAAAGCUAAAUAUUGGCGAGAGACCGAUAGCGAACAAGUACAGUGAUGGAAAGAUGAAAAGAACUUUGAAAAGAGAGUGAAAAAGUACGUGAAAUUGUUGAAAGGGAAGGGCUUGAGAUCAGACUUGGUAUUUUGUAUGUUACUUCUUCGGGGGUGGCCUCUACAGUUUAUCGGGCCAGCAUCAGUUUGGGCGGUAGGAGAAUUGCGUUGGAAUGUGGCACGGCUUCGGUUGUGUGUUAUAGCCUUCGUCGAUACUGCCAGCCUAGACUGAGGACUGCGGUUU